GACGAACGCUGGCGGCGUGCUUAACACAUGCAAGUCGAACGGAAAGGCCCUGCUUUUGUGGGGUGCUCGAGUGGCGAACGGGUGAGUAACACGUGAGUAACCUGCCCUUGACUUUGGGAUAACUUCAGGAAACUGGGGCUAAUACCGGAUAGGAGCUCCUGCUGCAUGGUGGGGGUUGGAAAGUUUCGGCGGUUGGGGAUGGACUCGCGGCUUAUCAGCUUGUUGGUGGGGUAGUGGCUUACCAAGGCUUUGACGGGUAGCCGGCCUGAGAGGGUGACCGGCCACAUGGGGCCUGAGAGACGGCGCAGAAUCCUACGGGAGGCAGCAGUGGGGAAUAUUGCACAGUGGGCGGAAGCCUGAUGCAGCAACGCCGCGUGCGGGAUGACGGCCUUCGGGUGGUAAACCGCUUUCGCCUGUGACGAAGCGUUAGUGACGGUAAUGGGUAAAGAAGCACCGGCUAACUACGUG
rnacentral:rRNA from 1 species